UACGAAGGGGGCGAGCGUUGUUCGGAUUUACUGGGCGUAAAGGGUGCGUAGGUGGCGCGGUAAGUCGGGUGUGAAAUCUCGGAGCUUAACUCCGAAAUUGCAUUCGAUACUGCCGUGCUCGAGGACUGGAGAGGAGACUGGAAUUCAUGGUGUAGCAGUGAAAUGCGUAGAGAUCAUGAGGAAGACCAGUGGCGAAGGCGGGUCUCUGGACAGUUCCUGACACUGAGGCACGAAGGCCAGGGGAGCAAACGGG
rnacentral:rRNA from 1 species